rnacentral:tRNA from 1 species
AUAACUAUAGCUUAAUGGUUAAAGCAGAUAACUCUAGAUUAUUAUAUGAGGGUUCAAGUCCCUUUAGU